rnacentral:rRNA from 1 species
CUCUUGAGAACCUCUCCAGGUAUCCCCUGCCCUAUGGACUCUUUAAUGGCCGCAGUAUCUUGACUGUGCAAAGGUAGCAUAAUCAUUUGUUUCUUAAUUGGAAGCUGGCAUGAAGGGGAGGAUGAAAAACAAUCUUUUGAAGAGGAGGAUUAAUUUGACUUAAGAGUUAAAAGGCUCUUAUACUUCUGGGGGACGAUAAGACCCUAUAAAACUUUACUUUAAGGGGCCUUUUUUAUAGGAAGGAGAGGAGAGGAGAGUUUAACUGGGGCGGUUUAUAUAAAAACUAUAUAAAAAAAAAUAUAAAAUAUAGAGAAGAAUAACUUAUUUUUAAAUUUAAACAAGUUACUUUAGGGAUAACAGCAUAAUCCCCUUAGAGAGUUCAAAUCGGUAAGGGGGCUUGUGACCUCGAUGUUGAAUUGGGGGCUAUCUUUUGGGCAGCUUUAAAAGAAGUUAGUCUGUUCGACUAUUAAAACCCC